rnacentral:rRNA from 1 species
UAGUAUCCCAAGGCGCGUGAGAGAACGCUGGCUAAGGAACUCGGCAAAAUAGCACCGUAACUUCGGGAGAAGGUGUGCCCGCCGACGUGAUGGAACUUGCUUCCUGAGCGUUGGCGGGUCGCAGUGAAAUGGGGGUUGCGACUGUUUACUAAAAACACAGGACUGUGCGAACUCGUAAGAGGACGUAUACGGUCUGACGCCUGCCCGGUGCUGGAAGGUUAAGGGGAGAGGUUAGCGCAAGCGAAGCUUCGAACCGAAGCCCCAGUAAACGGCGGCCGUAACAAUAACGGUCCUAAGGUAGCAAAAUUCCUUGUCGGGUAAGUUCCGACCUGCACGAGGGCGUAACGACAUCCCUACUGUCUCGGCCAGCGACUCAGCGAAAUUGUAUCGGGGGUGAAGAUACCCUCUACCCGCGGCAAGACGGAAAGACCCCAUGAACCUUUACUGCAACUUGGCAGUGAGGUUCGGAACAGUCUGCGUAGGAUAGGUAGGAGGCUUUGAAGUCGGGAUUCCGGUCUCGAUGGAGCCGUCGUUGAAAUACUACCCUGGCUUUUCUGGACUUCUAACCUAGGCCCCUGAACGGGGUCGGGGACACUGCCUGGUGGGCAGUUUGACUGGGGCGGUCGCCUCCCAAACAGUAACGGAGGCGCGCGAAGGUACCCUCAGGCUGAUUGGAAACCAGCCGGCGAGUGCAAUGGCACAAGGGUGCUUAACUGUGAGAGGGACACCUCGAGCAGGUGCGAAAGCAGGCCAUAGUGAUCCGGUGGUCCCGCAUGGAAGGGCCAUCGCUCAUCGGACAAAAGGUACUCUGGGGAUAACAGGCUGAUCGCGCCUGAGAGUCCAUAUCGGCGGCGCGGUUUGGCACCUCGAUGUCGGCUCAUCGCAUCCUGGGGCCGGAGCAGGUCCCAAGGGUUUGGCUGUUCGCCAAUUAAAGCGGUACGCGAGCUGGGUUUAGAACGUCGUGAGACAGUUCGGUCCCUAUCUGCCGUGGGCGCAGGAUACGUGAGAGGAGCUGUUCAUAGUACGAGAGGACCUGAACGGACGCACCUCUAGUGUUCCGGUUGUCAUGCCAAUGGCAUAGCCGGGUAGCUAUGUGCGGAACGGAUAACCGCUGAAAGCAUCUAAGCGGGAAGCCGGCCUCAAGACAAGGUAUCCCGGGGCAUAAGCCCCCUGAAGGCCCCUUGAAGACUACAAGGUGAUAGGCGGGAGGUAGAAGCGCAGCGAUGCGCGGAGCUGACCCGUACUAAUAGGCCGUGCGGCUUGACCUG